GCCGCCGUGGUGUAAUGGUAGCACAGGGGCCUGUGGAGCCCCCAGACCGGGUUCGAUAGGCCUGUGGCCCGAAAAUCCCGGCGGCGGCCCCA
rnacentral:tRNA from 1 species